UUUAAACAUUUCGCCAUGGUUUCUUCAAGCCACUAUGGGCUCUGGUUUUUGGGCACUAUGGCGAUGGUUGGGAUUCUUACAAAUAACCUACAAAAAGCUGGAGCCCAAUUCGUGGGUGUUUGUUAUGGGGCAUCAGGCGAUCUUCCACCCCCUCAUGAAGUGGUGGCCCUCUAUCAAUCCAAAGGAAUCAAGAAGAUGAGACUUUACUCCCCCUACACCGCGCCUUAGAAGCCCUUCGAGGAUCUGGCAUCAAACUAAUAUUCGGCCUCCCAAACGAAAACCUCAGACAGGCGGCAACCGACCCAUCCUUUGUUGCCGAAUGGGUUAGGACCAACGUCCAAGCAUACUUUCCUGCUGUCGAUAUCGGCUACAUUGCUGUUAGCAAAGAGGUAAUCCCGGGUCCUGAAGCUGGUAAUGUCCUUCCAGCUAUGCAGAAUGUAUACAAUGCAAUAAAGUCAGCAGGCUUACAGGAUAGUAUCAAGGUUUCCACUUCUGUUGCUCCCACCGUGAUAGGCACAUCUUAUCCACCAUCCGCCGGCUCAUUCUCUUCCGAAUCUUCAUCCACGAUGACAUCCAUCGUUGGUUUCCUUUCUAGCACUGAGGCACCACUGCUGGUGAACGUGUACCCCUAUUUCAGUUACAUAGGAAACACUAGAGAUAUUCGACUCGAGUAUGCAUUGUUUACUGCUAAUUUUGAUGUGGUAACAGAUGGUCAAUUUAGGUACCGUAACCUCUUCGAUGCAAUGGUAGAUUGUGUGUAUGCUGCAAUGGAGAAGGUUGGCGGAGGGGAAGUCCCGAUCAUAGCUAGUGAGAGCGGGUGGCCUUCUGCCGGAGGCGUCGCAGCCACAAUCGACAAUGCCCGGACCUAUAACUCGAACUUGGUGCGACAUGGGGGUCAAGGAACUCCGAGGAGGACGGGCACACCUUUGGAAAUCUAUGUGUUUGCAAUGUUCAAUGAGAAUAAGAAGGCAGCAGGGAUUGAACAAAACUUUGGGCUCUUCUAUCCCAACAAGCAGCCAAACUUUGGGCUCUUCUAUCCCAACAAGCAGCCUGUUUAUGAUGUGAAUUUCCCCUAGAGAGUCAAUAUUAAAGGCUAAGUAAGUCUCAAUAUGUUUGAAACAAAUAAAAGUCUGCUGAUUGUGAUUAUCGUUUCAAAAUAUGCAAUAUCAAAGUAAGUAACUCAGCUUUUGUUC